UCACCCUGCUCCUCACGCGACCCCCAGAACAGAAAACAAAAAAAAAAUCCCAGAGAACACAGCCACGCGUUUUCCAGAAACCUCUUCACCCACGCGUCCCCCCCCCACGCUCUCUCCUUCCUCUCUCUCCAUCACGCGUGGACGAAAGAAUCCGCAACGGAAACCUGCCACCCUGUCCUCGUCGUACAGCAACGCAGCACGCUAGGCGACGCGAGCUCGUCCUUGGCGACGUAGGAUCGAGCCACGUCGUUUGCCGAGGACGAGAGUUUGAUCUCGACCCUCCACAUAUGCCCUCAAUCCGUUGGAGGUUUUGGCAUCAAAAGGGCAUAUUCCCUCAGAUUCGGAGAGGAUUUCAAAUUUCGAAUUUGAAAUGGGUCGAAUUCGUUUUACCCGCCUCGAAUCGAAGCCCUAGUGUCUUCUAUAUAAACCCCCACCUCUCUUCAAAACGGGGUUGGAUUUUUUGGUUGGGAAAAAUUUUUCAAGAAGAAAUAACAUUCUGGUUUUUCCUGUCUGUUGUAGAAGAACAGAAGGAAAUUCAGGGGGAACUAUUUUCGAAAUCCUUGGUUUGUUCUGUUGUUUCCGAAAAAAAAAGACGAAACGAAAAUUUUCUUUGGCUUUUCUGGUUCUGUUUCAGAAGAGUUCAAAUUCCAAAGGUUAGAAUUUUGGGUAUUGGCAAUUUAGGUUGGAAUUUCUUCUACCUUCGCUGGUUACUUCGAAAGAAUGUAGAGAUAAACACAGGGAGUUGAGAAGUCGAUAAAUACAUUCCGUUUCGUCGCAGCGUGUGCGACUGUGGUGUCUCUCGAAACGUCUCGGUUGGGGUUCGUAUUUCGCUUUCAGUGUGGGAGUUCGUUCUCGCUACCUCGCUCGUCGUUGUUCCAGUCGCUGCUUUCGAAGAGUCCAUUUUGGACUCCGUUUCCUUCCUCACAUUUCGAGAGAGUCACGAAGGUUCGGAAACUUUAUCAAGUCAGUCCAUCAAGACAGGUGUACAAGUUUGAAAUUCCGGGAGAUUGAAGAAAGAUCCAAAAUAUGGAGUAGAAGAUUUCCUCAUUUUUUAUUAUUAGUUAUGUAUUUUUAUUUUAUUUGUAAUGGGCAUAAGCCUUCUUGUCGUUUUUACUUUCUAUAUUUUGUAUAUCUAGUUAGGACAGGUGAAUGAGUUUAAAACCCAAAAAUAGUUGGGUCCUAGUUUCGGUCAAGGCGAACAGAACUCGUAACUUGGACCCGAAUCUCUCUC